AGAAAAAACAACAAAAAUCUUACUCCCUCCUGCUUUCAAACCACAGAUGUAAACAGUAGCACAUUAAAGUUACAAUGAAUUACUAAACCCUUAACCCACUUAUUAAUAAAAGACAUACAAAUGCAAAACAUAUGACUUUCAUCAAGCGAGGACUUUUGAAUUUCAUAAAGCGACGCCAUCACUGUAGUUCAGAGAAUGAUGAAAACUAAAUCGUCAUAUUCUUCCUAAUGCAACCACAAAGUACAACAGUUACCUUAUGAUUUUUUAUCAUUGAUCAGUGCGCCAGUUAUUGUCUCAAUCAAUCAGUUGUUUGAUCCAGAAAAUGUCAGAAAAUGUCUCGUCAAAAGUCCAAACCAAGAUGAGAUUCAUUACGUAAUGAUAUAUAAAAAGAGGAAAGGUGACAAUCCUCAAAUUACCAUCUCCCGCUAAAAAUCCCAGGUCCUCAUUUUAGGCCUCAUCUUAAUUUCAAUCCCUACAAGACCGACACCCAUGUGACCGAUGCCCCAGAUUUGAUGUAUCAAAUUAAAAUUAUUCCCUCGCAGUGAAGGAAUCCGUGCCCGUCCACACUCCCACCUCUUCACACCAGUUCUCUCUUUUUUAAAAAAAAAAAAGACUUUACAAACAAAAAGUGAAACAUUGUUGGGCAUGUUCAGUGGAUCGUGGAGGGGGUUCAGGAGAAAACCUGAAGAAUCCGACAGCAGUGGGAGAAAACCGAGUGUCUGACAGAGAGAGGCGAGCGGGAGACAGAAAGAGCAGCUCAUCUUACUGGCCGAUUGAUCGUCUCUGUGAUCAUAUCAGCGUCUCGUUACUCAGACUGGAACAUCAUCCUCUGGAUCCCCUUACUGGAAUAAACGACUCAAGGCGCAGCUGUUGAAUCAGCACCUCCACCCUGGUGCGACCACAUCGACCCGCCGGCACGCGAUGGAGACGACCGACAAGUGCCCUGCGACACUGGGCACCUCAUCGAGAUCUCGUGACCUCUCAGUGACCUGGGCAGUGUCUCUACCCACAACGCUAUCACACCUCACUGCACACUGUGCUCUAAUCACGCUCAGGCCCACGAGACCCACUCGCCGAAGCGCCCGCAGGAGCACAUGCAUAAGAUCCAGCCGCUUCCUGACGCCUCUCAUCAAUACCUCAUGUUCUGACAUUGAUCGUUGUGUCCUUGGCGUCCCCGACUUCACUCCGCGCAGGUCACAACGGCGUGAAAUCAGGCCGCCCCUGUUUAUUACUCGGGGGACCCGCGAUCGGCUCCUCAGAAGGCCGACAGCCUUGACAGGUGGAGCCGGAGUCGACUGUGACAAAGCGCUGAUUAGCCUGUCACUCUGAAUGGAGGGAAGCCAAACUGGUCUACCGACCCCCCCCCCCGCGAGCGACGACGGGUACGGCAAGGCUGCGCGCGUCGCCGCGUCGAGACGGAUAAAUGCAGAUGACAAACUGUGUUGGAGUCACAAGUGCCCGUCACGUUGACGCGUUUCAGGAACAUGGCUCUGGUGUCACUCUCAUUAAUUGCGCGCCAGUUUAUUAAUGAAUAGGAUUUAAUUAUAUCUUGUGAAUUAACAAUGAGAAGUAUCCGUCUGUCCUCCAAAUCUCCACCUUGGAAAGUGGUUAGAAGUGACCUGUACAUUAAAGUUCAUGUAAGUUUGUUUUUUUUGGGGGGGGGGGGGCUAAUGUUUGAACAUCUCUUUUGUUAAGAGUGUGCAGGUCAAUUGUUUUGAGCCACAUCUGGCCUCCCAUUGUUAGGGUGCAACAUCUGGCCAUGGGCAAUACUUGAAAAUUAGCAAUAAGGGAUAACCCUGGCUCAUGUCAGCAUUGCCCUAAAAAAAUACACAAAUAAAAUGAAACGACUGAAGAAAUCAGCUGCCAUGUAUCAUGAUUACCGUCACUUUUUUUAUGUUACCUUUUGUCUGC
ensembl:lncRNA